rnacentral:rRNA from 1 species
GUAGGGAAUAUUGGGCAAUGGAGGCAACUCUGACCCAGCCAUGUCGCGUGCAGGAAGACGGUCCUCUGGAUUGUAAACUGCUUUUGAAUGGGAAGAAACGUAGCUUUGCGAAGCUAUUUGACGGUACUAUUAGAAUAAGCACCGGCUAACUCCGUGCCAGCAGCCGCGGUAAUACGGAGGGUGCAAGCGUUAUCCGGAUUUAUUGGGUUUAAAGGGUGCGUAGGCGGCUUUAUAAGUCUGGGGUUAAAGGCGGCAGCUUAACUGUACGCAUGCCCUGGAAACUGUGAAGCUUGAGUGACUUGGAGGUAGCUAGAAUUCCCUGUGUAGCGGUGAAAUGCAUAGAUACGGGGAGGAAUACCGAUUGCGAAGGCAUGUUACUACGAGUAAACUGACGCUGAUGCACGAAAGCGUGGGGAUCAAACAGGAUUAGAUACCCGGGUAGUCC